CUCUAUUCAGCCUUCACCAGUGAUGGUGCCAUUUCAGUACCAAGCCUUUCUGCUCCAGGUCAAGGAACCAGCAGCACAAACACUGUUGGGGCAACAGUGAACAGCCAAGCCGCCCAAGCUCAGCCUCCUGCCAUGACGUCCAGCAGGAAGGGCACAUUCACAGAUGACUUGCACAAGUUGGUAGACAAUUGGGCCCGAGAUGCCAUGAAUCUCUCAGGCAGGAGAGGAAGCAAAGGGCACAUGAAUUACGAGGGCCCUGGAAUGGCAAGGAAGUUCUCUGCACCUGGGCAACUGUGCAUCUCCAUGACCUCGAACCUGGGUGGCUCUGCCCCCAUCUCUGCAGCAUCAGCUACCUCUCUAGGUCACUUCACCAAGUCUAUGUGCCCCCCACAGCAGUAUGGCUUUCCAGCUACCCCAUUUGGCGCUCAAUGGAGUGGGACGGGUGGCCCAGCACCACAGCCACUUGGCCAGUUCCAACCUGUGGGAACUGCCUCCUUGCAGAAUUUCAACAUCAGCAAUUUGCAGAAAUCCAUCAGCAACCCCCCAGGCUCCAACCUGCGGACCACUUAGACCUAGAGACAUUAACUGAAUAGAUCUGGGGGCAGGAGAUGGAAUGCUGAGGGGGUGGGUGGGGGUGGGAAGUAGCCUAUAUACUAACUACUAGUGCUGCAUUUAACUGGUUAUUUCUUGCCAGAGGGGAAUGUUUUUAAUACUGCAUUGAGCCCUCAGAAUGGAGAGUCUCCCCCGCUCCAGUUAUUGGAAUGGGAGAGGAAGGAAAGAACAGCUUUUUUGUCAAGGGGCAGCUUCAGACCAUGCUUUCCUGUUUAUCUAUACUCAGUAAUGAGGAUGAGGGCUAGGAAAGUCUUGUUCAUAAGGAAGCUGGAGAACUCAAUGUAAAAUCAAACCCAUCUGUAAUUUCGAGUGGGUGGAGCUCUUGCUUUUGGUACAUGCCCUGAAUCCCUCACUCCCUCAAGAAUCCGAACCACAGGACAAAAACCACCUACUGGGCUCUCUCCUACCCUGCCCUCCUCCCUUUUUUUUACCCCUCUCUUUUUUAUUUUUUCUUUGCUCUUUAGAACCCAGUGAAAAAUACCAGGGUACUGGGGUGCAACUCUUUCUUAUGAUAGGUCAUUAGUGCUUUAAGCAAAAGAUAUUAGCAGCUUUGACUGCAGCAUUAGCAAUUAGG
rnacentral:lncRNA from 1 species